rnacentral:rRNA from 1 species
UGGGGAGCUCUCCCAUAUGGUCGACCUGCAGGCGGCCGCGAAUUCACUAGUGAUUCGUAUUACCGCGGCUGCUGGCACAGAGUUAGCCGGUGCUUAUUCUGUCGGUAACGUCAAAACAGCAAAGUAUUAAUUUACUGCCCUUCCUCCCAACUUAAAGUGCUUUACAAUCCGAAGACCUUCUUCACACACGCGGCAUGGCUGGAUCAGGCUUUCGCCCAUUGUCCAAUAUUCCCCACUGCUGCCUCCCGUAGGAGUCUGGACCGUGUCUCAGUUCCAGUGUGACUGAUCAUCCUCUCAGACCAGUUACGGAUCGUCGCCUUGGUGAGCCAUUACCCCACCAACUAGCUAAUCCGACCUAGGCUCAUCUGAUAGCGCAAGGCCCGAAGGUCCCCUGCUUUCUCCCGUAGGACGUAUGCGGUAUUAGCGUCCGUUUCCGAACGUUAUCCCCCACUACCAGGCAGAUUCCUAGGCAUUACUCACCCGUCCGCCGCUCUCAAGAGAAGCAAGCUUCUCUCUACCGCUCGACUUGCAUGUGUUAGGCCUGCCGCCAGCGUUCAAUCUGAGCCAUGAUCAAACUCUAAUCGAAUUCCCGCGGCCGCCAUGGCGGCCGGGAGCAUG